GUCAGGGUGGUCGAGUGGUCUAAGGCGCCAGACUCAAGAUCUGGGGGCGUGGGUUCGAAUCCCAUUCCUGACA